rnacentral:rRNA from 1 species
UGGGGAAUAUUGCACAAUGGGCGCAAGCCUGAUGCAGCCAUGCCGCGUGUGUGAAGAAGGCCUUCGGGUUGUAAAGCACUUUCAGCGAGGAGGAAGGUGGUGAGCUUAAUACGCUCAUCAAUUGACGUUACUCGCAGAAGAAGCACCGGCUAACUCCGUGCCAGCAGCCGCGGUAAUACGGAGGGUGCAAGCGUUAAUCGGAAUUACUGGGCGUAAAGCGCACGCAGGCGGUUUGUUAAGUCAGAUGUGAAAUCCCCGGGCUCAACCUGGGAACUGCAUUUGAAACUGGCAAGCUAGAGUCUCGUAGAGGGGGGUAGAAUUCCAGGUGUAGCGGUGAAAUGCGUAGAGAUCUGGAGGAAUACCGGUGGCGAAGGCGGCCCCCUGGACGAAGACUGACGCUCAGGUGCGAAAGCGUGGGGCAGCAAACAGGAUUAGAUACCCUGGUAGUCCAGCGCUGUAAACGAUGUCGAUUUGGAGGUUGUGCCCUUGAGGCGUGGCUUCCGGAGUUAACGCGUUAAAUCGACCGCCUGGGGAGUACGGCCGCAAGGUUAAAACUCAAAUGAAUUGACGGGUCUAGCUG